rnacentral:rRNA from 1 species
GGACCAUCAUGUCGGUCGUGCCUCGGUACGUACUGGCAUCGUCGGUUUCUCCCUUCUGACGAACCUUAAUGUCAUUAAUUUGGUGUUUUGGGGAAUCAGGACUGUUACUUUGAAAAAAUUAGAGUGUUUAAAGCGGGCUAACGCUUGAAUACAUUAGCAUGGAAUAAUGAAAUAGGACGUUCGAUCCUAUUUUGUUGGUUUCUAGGAUUGACGUA